UCAGGGGUGAGACGCACACCUGCAGAGAACAGCCGCUGAUGGGGGAGAUGUGGUGGAACGGAAUAGCUGUGCCGGCCAGCAGUGAGCAGUGUGUUUAGGAAGAGUAAGCAAGCAACCAGGAGAGGCACCCCUCUGAGCGACACCCCUAUCACUGGGUGAUGGAGGAUAUGGCUGUUUCUCUUGGCUUCUAACUCCAUUGUCCCGACCUGAAUACCCUGCUGAACACAAUUACAAUCAUGCACAUAAGUCCACGCGGAAUGUGAUAGAAAGAUGUUUUGGUGUGCUGAAAUCUAGGUUUCGGUGUCUGGAUAAGUCUGGUGGCCUUUUGUUGUAUAGUCCCUCCAUGGUGACUCAAAUUGUGUUCUGCUGCUGCUUUCUUCAUAACAUGUGUUUGCAAUAACAUCUGCCACAUGUUGAGGAGGAGGAAGAAAGCAGCCAGCAAGCAGAGGAAUUAAAGACAUCUGGUGAUACUUGGAGUACAGAUGUAGGGAGGCAGGUUAGGCAAGAGCUCAUCACUCGCUAUUUCUAAGCAUCUUACACACAAUGUCAUACUGUAUGGCUCAAGUGGACAUACAUAUCUUUACUGGAUGUGGACAAGGCCAUUUAGCUUGGAUUCCAUUUCAGGUUUUACUU